ACAGUGAAAAAUACUUCCACGGAUACUUUCAAUACUGUCAUUGACAAGAACAUAUACGUUGAGACAACACCUAUAAUGACAAUGGCAACUGACAAACGUAAAGACAUCGACAAAGACAAUGGCACUGACUGACACUGAUUCUCAAACAUUUCAAAAAGAUCACGAUUAAGAAGGUAUUGCAAAACAUUGUCCUCUGUACGUUUACUUUCCAACUUUUACUACAACUAUUACUACUGUUACUCCGGCUAUCCCCUACUUGAAACACUAUUCCUCCCUAGCCGGCAUCUUAAGCAGGAUUCACUUGAUCCCUGUGAUUAUUAUUCUGUGGUGCCAAAUCUUUACAUCUACCCUUGUGCUGUAUGGAUAGUGAUUUUUCACUGGAGACCUGGCCCUAUGACCCCCUUCUGUGCUUGAAAAUGAAAAUGAAAAAUGAAAAUAACAGUGGUGGUUAGACAGUACCACCCACCGCCUAAAUGGAAGGAUUACUGUACAUCCAACAUUUAUGGUCCCAAUUAUGUAAGUCGAGUCAAGUGUUACUUCUGUUCGCUGGUCUAAUUUAUACUAUUUUAUUGGUAUCGUACCCUUUUAAAUUACUUUAAUGUAGUUAAACUAGUUAGACAAUCAAUAUUUAAUGUUUGGCAUUACCCUGUGAUACCCUUAAGCGAACCAGUGAUAUUCAAUGGAGGACAUUCAACGACGGUUUAACCUUGUGAUAUUUCACCCACUGGGAGAAUGAAGGACAAUGCAAAUUCAGUUUUAUACAUUAUUUUAUUUCUUCAGACAUUCUUAAUCUAAUUAACAUUUUAUUUUCGUUUUUUUUUAUUUUUAAAGACAUUUUUCAAAAAAAAUUGAAAUAGAAUUUGAAAGAAACUACAGUGGUAUAUCUCAUCUUUAUGACUGUUAAAAUUUUCGCAAAAAUAAUAUUCCGUAGUGAUAAUAUCACGGUUCGAUUAAACUCUUUCGUUAUCAAUGUAUUUUUGACGAACGUUUCAUGAUGCAAAAAACUUCAAUUGCUAAGACAUUUCCAAUGUUUCAUAUCGUAUCAGUUUAGAAGACAUAUCAGCUCACAAUCGUAAUUGUAAUGCAUAUUGUAAUAUUGUGAAAUUGCAGACGUUUGGUAUCUUGUCAAGAAAACUAAGAACACUUGGCACUUAAACACUUAUAGACUAUUCUCAAAUUUGUAAUGCAUAUUGUAAUAUUGUGAAAUUACAGAAACGGUGGUAUCUUUUAAGGCAAAAAUAAUAUUCCGUAGUGAUAAUAUCACGAUCCAAAAAACUUCAUCAAAAGUUUUUAUUCUCAAAAAAAAUUGAAAUAGAAUUUGAAAGAAAUUGUAGUGGUUGGUUGUUUUUUUUUUCGCAUACGAAUAGGAAAUAGAAAAUAUUGAGAAACUUCAGUUGAUGGUAUCCGUUUGAUGCUUUCGCAAAAAUAAUAGAAAUAGAACUUAAAAAGAAUUUACAGUGAAGGUUCUUGAUAGAUGAUUUUCGCACUCAUGCGACCUUUGGUCAUAUGAUGACGACUUGCUAGAAGAACUUCUUUUAGACUUUUCGCAAAAAUAAUAGAAAUAGAACUUAAAAAGAACUUACAGUGUUUGUAUCUUUGAUUUUUUUUUGUUCGCACUCAUGCGACCUUUGGUCAUAUGAUGACGACUUCUGGAGGGUUGAAGCAACACGAGGGCCCUACGGUCUUCUGACCAGAUCUAGUUUCGUUAGUUUUCGUAAAAAUAAUAUUCCGUAGUGAUAAUAUCACGCAAUGAAAAGACUUCGUAGACUUUGCAAAAAUAAUAUUCCGUAGUGAUAAUAUCACGCAAUGAAAAGACUUCGUAGAUUUCUUAAAAAUAAUAUUCCGUAGUGAUAAUAUCACGCAAUGAAAAGACUUCGUAGAAAUAAUAUUCCGUAGUUCGGACGUGAAUUAUUUGCAACUUCGAAAACCUAAUAGGGAAGGAGAGUUCACUUCAAUAUAUGUUAUCCAGUAGGGUGACACAUUGUGGUGUAAAGACUUUUUAGACUUCGUAAAAAUAAUAUUCCGUAGUGAUAAUAUCACGCAAUGAAAAGACUUCGUUAUAAGACUUUUAGAGAGACGUAAAAAUAAUAUUCCGUAGUGAUAAUAUCACGGCACAAAAACACUUAAUGUCGGUUGUUAUACUAUAUGAAUUAGGAUUUAUAACUCCAAGACUUUUUAAUUUGAUUCGCAAAAAUAAUAUUCCGUAGUGAUAAUAUCACGCAAUGAAAAGACUUCGUAAAAAUAAUAUUCCGUAGUGAUAAUAUCACGCAAUGAAAAGCCUUUGUAGACUUCGUAAAAAUAAUAUUCCGUAGUGAUAAUAUCACGCAAUGAAAAGACUUUGUAGACUUCGUAAAAAUAAUAUUCCGUAGUGAUAAUAUCACGCAAUGAAAAGACUUUGUAGACUUCGUAAAAAUAAUAUUCCGUAGUGAUAAUAUCACGCAAUGAAAAGACUUCAUUAUUUGACUUUUAGAAAGACGUAAAAAUAAUAUUCCGUAGUGAUAAUAUCACGGCAUAAAAA